UUUGAAUCUUUUCCCACAAACUUCACACUCAUGACUUCUUGCAGCAGUGUGUGUAACAAGGUGUAAUUUGAGGGUACCCUUCUGAAUGAAACAUUUCCCACAAACUUCACACUCAUGCUUUCUUUCACCAGUGUGUGUAAGAGUGUGUAAUUUGAGGUUACCCUUCUGACUGAAACAUUUUCCACAGAUUUCACACUCAUGAUUUCUUUCACCAGUGUGUGUAAGAGUGUGUAAUUUGAGGGUACCCUUCUGACUGAAACAUUUCCCACAAACUUCACACUCAUGAUUUCUUUCACCAGUGUGUGUAAGGGUGUGUUUCUUGAGGGUACCCUUCAGACUGAAACAUUUCCCACAAAGUUCACACUCAUGAUUUCUUUCACCAGUGUGUGUAACAAGGUGUAAUUUGAGGGUACCCUUCUGACUGAAACAUUUUCCACAAACUUCACACUCAUGAUUUCUUUCACCAGUGUGUGUAAGAGUGUGUAAUUUGAGGGUACCCUUCCGACUGAAACAUUUCCCACAAACUUCACACUCAUGAUUUCUUUCACCAGUGUGUGUAACAAGGUGUAAUUUGAGGGUACCCUUCUGACUGAAACAUUUCCCACAAACUUCACACUCAUGAUUUCUUUCACCAGUGUGUGUAAGAGUGUGUAAUUUGAGGGUACCCUUCUGACUGAAACAUUUCCCACAAACUUCACACUCAUGAUUUCUUGCAUCAGUGUGUGUAACAAGGUGUAUUUUGAGGUUAUCCUUCCGACUGAAACAUUUCCCACAAACUUCACACUCAUGAUUUCUUUCACCAGUGUGUGUAAGAGUGUGUUUCUUGAGGUUACCCUUCAGACUGAAACAUUUCCCACAAACUUCACACUCAUGAUUUCUUUCACCAGUGUGUGUAAGAGUGUGUAAUUUGAGGGUACCCUUGUGACUGAAACAUUUCCCACAAACUUCACACUCAUGAUUUCUUUCACCAGUGUGUGUAAGAGUGUGUUUCUUGAGGGUACCCUUCAGACUGAAACAUUUCCCACAAACUUCACACUCAUGAUUUCUUUCAUCAGUGUGUGUAAGGGUGUGUUUCUUGAGGGUAUCCUUCAGACUGAAACAUUUCCCACAAACUUCACACUCAUGAUUUCUUUCACCAGUGUGUGUAAGAGUGUGUAAUUUGAGGGUACCCUUCUGACUGAAACAUUUCCCACAAACUUCACACUCAUGAUUUCUUUCACCAGUGUGUGUAAGAGUGUGUAAUUUGAGGUUACCCUUCUGACUGAAACAUUUCCCACAAA